AAAGCAAUCAAGCAAGUGGCAGGUCUGGAGCUGCAAGCUUUUUAUAACAGAGAGACAGGCCAGCUGCUGGUCCCACCCAUUUCCUCCAAGAAGACUGGCACUGAAGAAACUCCACCCAGAAAAGUCGCACUGCUAGCCACUAAGCAACCCUGCCUUUCACCUCAACUGCUGCAAAGGACUCUUCAGACCGUGGACAAUAGGACAGUGGAAUCGACUUUCUCCACGUAGCUUGGGCCAAUGAUAGGCAAAUCUUCCUAAAGUUCCUAAUCCACAGGUCCCAUGCUAUCAGCAGAAGGCGUGUGUCCUUAAAGUCACUGCCCUCAACAACUAUGGAGGACUUUGGGGGUGGCUGUACGCGCAGCUGGCUAGUAAGUCUCUGUUAUUCUUUAAUCAUUAAUUCAGGUAAAAUUUUAUCCUUCUCAAGAACUCUGAUGCUUUUGACAACUGGUAGCUUUGCCAGCUUAAAGCAACAGGCAAAGCUCCAACUGUCACAAAACAGAUUUCAAGAACAGGUAUUUUAAGGUUUACCUAUGUGAAGAUAGGAAAAUGUAAGGUGUAUGAAUUAAAGUUAUGAAGGUCUGAGGAUAAAAAGGCUUAACCGAUGACAAAUAAAAUGAGUUGAGACAUCUGAAAGAAUGAAACAUGUUUCCAGAUUUCUCUUUCUCAUUAUGCUACUGUUCAUAGUCUUAACAUUAACCAAUAAAGUUCUGAUAAGCUACUAAUCCAACUCUGACAGAGUACAAGUCACCAAACUAUACCACUAUACAAUCGUAACUGCAAGGUCAAGAUUAAAGUACUUUUUAUUAUGCCAAAAAUAUCUGUCAGUUUUUAAAAUGUUAAUUCUUUCAGCCAAGUCGCUUCUAACAUAAAUAUGUUGCUAAUGUGUCUAAUACCUUUGUUUUCACAAACUCUAAGGAUUCUUGUAAGUUCCAGGGAGCCAAAUUGGCCCCCCCAAACAGGUCAGAUUCACUCCAGAUAUUAUUCAAUCUUUUCCUGGUUCCGGGAUUCCAUUCCCUCAUCUUGGGACUCCUCAGAAACCCCUCCCUCAUUCUACAAUCUUCCCUUCAAGUACCAGGACCUAAGAUAAAAAAUUUUCCUAAACUUAACUCUGUACUCUGCUCUGCCAACAUCUUGUCAGGUCUAAAAGGCACCAGAGAGUUCCAUACAGUUUGGACUGCCUUGGAGCAACCAGCUACCCCAGGAUGUGGCAGCACCCCAGCUUUCUCAGGUUCCCCAAAGAUGGUCAACGCCCCCCAGGUCAGCAGGAAGCAGUCUUGAGAACUCGACGCCCUUAUUCCCUAACCUGCCAUGCCUAACUCCCCACCUUUUUAAAAAUAAGUAAAGGUGGGAAUGCAAGGAUUCAGGCAUUAUGCUGGCCUGCCCCUGAUACCUGGCAGAAUGCACUCAGGCAGUACUCUGGUCAGCCCAGGGUUCCAUGAGUACUAGUCUGCAUGUAGGUGUAUAAAGGACCCCUUUAAAAGACAGAUCCCUGCCCUCUUACGCUCUCUUACCCUCUUCGUCUCUCUCUCUCUCUCUUACUGUUCACCUCUUACCCUCUUCUCGUCUCUCCCCCCUCUCACUCUCCCCCUCCCCCACUUAAAUAAACUUCAUGGU
rnacentral:lncRNA from 1 species